GGGCUACACACGUGCUACAAUGGCUAGUACAAAGGGUUGCCAACUCGCGAGAGUGCGCUAAUCCCAUAAAGCUAGUCGUAGUCCGGAUCGGAGUCUGCAACUCGACUCCGUGAAGUCGGAAUCGCUAGUAAUCGCGUAUCAGCAAUGACGCGGUGAAUACGUUCCCGGACCUUGUACACACCGCCCGUCAAGCCAUGGGAGUUGGGUAUACCUGAAGAUGGUUGCCG
rnacentral:rRNA from 1 species